AUUGAACGCUGGCGGCAUGCCUUACACAUGCAAGUCGAACGGCAGCACGGGUGCUUGCACCUGGUGGCGAGUGGCGAACGGGUGAGUAAUACAUCGGAACAUGUCCUGUAGUGGGGGAUAGCCGGGCGAAAGCCGGAUUAAUACCGCAUACGAUCUACGGAUGAAAGCGGGGGACCUUCGGGCCUCGCGCGAUAGGGUCGGCCGAGGGCGGAUUAGCUAGUUGGUGGGGUCAAGGCCUACCAAGGCGACGAUCAGUAGCUGGUCUGAGAGGACGACCAGCCACACUGGGACUGAGACACGGCCCAGACUCCUACGGGAGGCAGCAGUGGGGAAUUUUGGACAAUGGGCGAAAGCCUGAUCCAGCAAUGCCGCGUGUGUGAAGAAGGCCUUCGGGUUGUAAAGCACUUUUGUCCGGAAAGAAAUCCUUGGCCCUAAUACGGUCGGGGGAUGACGGUACCGGAAGAAUAAGCACCGGCUAACUACGUG
rnacentral:rRNA from 1 species